rnacentral:rRNA from 1 species
UACAGAGGUCUCAAGCGUUGUUCGGAUUCAUUGGGCGUAAAGGGUGCGUAGGUGGCGCGCUAAGUCAGGUGUGAAAUUUCGGAGCUUAACUCCGAAACUGCAUUCGAUACUGGCGUGCUUGAGGACUGGAGAGGAGACUGGAAUUCAUGGUGUAGCAGUGAAAUGCGUAGAGAUCAUGAGGAAGACCAGUGGCGAAGGCGGGUCUCUGGACAGUUCCUGACACUGAGACACGAAGGCCAGGGGAGCAAACUUG